AUGGAACAUUCACAGGCCCUGGCAGGAAGCAGUCAACAAAUAUGGCUCGCCAGGGUUUCAGACCAUCCAAAUGUCCCAGAAGUGUAUCUCGCGAAACAAAUGGGUCUUACAGUAUGUACAAAGCAAACAGAAAAAGGGUGGGCCAAGUGUCGCGGCAGGCAGUGGCAGCUUCUCGACAAACACCAAACUCCCUUCCUUCCGUGGAUUAGUAAAUUGCCAGGAGGGGUCUUCGACUCAAACUCCAGAGCUCUUCUGGCAAAUAAACAUGGAGCGCAAGCUUCACCUUCCAAGUAUGUACCAAACAUUAGAUUAUCGACGCGGCACGACUUUAUUCCACGGAAGCCUACUAGAAUUCCACCAUUUUCUACAUAA
rnacentral:rRNA from 1 species